AAACCAGCACCUCAAGUGGUCAGGAUGAUUAUUGGGCCUAAAGCAUCCGUAGCCUGCUUUGUCAGUUUUCGGUUAAAUCCAUACGCUCAACGUAUGGGCUGCCGGAAAUACUGCAUAGCUAGGGAGUGGGAGAGGUAGACGGUACUCGGGAGGAAGGGGUAAAAUCCUUUGAUCUCUCGAUGACCACCUGUGGCGAAGGCGGUCUACCAGAACACGUCCGACGGUGAGGGAUGAAAGCUGGGGGAGCAAACCGGAUUAGAAACCCCAGUAGUCC
rnacentral:rRNA from 1 species